GUCAGAGGUGAAAUUCUUGGA
rnacentral:siRNA from 1 species